ACAUGCACAGUUAAGGGCAACUCCUAGCUCGUCGCUCGUAAACAAGUGCAAAGCUGGGUUUUAAAGAUAACACCAGUUCCAGGAAUCCUUGAAGGUCCCAGCAUUGACAAUCACUUCUACCUGCUGUGAGAGGGAAGAUACGACAAGCAGGGCGACAUUGUGGUGCGGUGCACAGGCAAAAAGGUAUCUGCAGAGUGGAGAGUUGCAUUGGUGAUGGCACAUGAUGGGACCAGGAUUAAUCAUGAGAGACAUCAUUGGGGAUAUGCCUCUGAUGCUGCAGAAAAAAGAAAAUAAUUUGCCUACCCCUGACUAUUCUGCAUUUCAAGGGACCUGUUCAAAUGCAAGUACAGCUCUACAUUUCUGAAGAAGCCUGAUUGGAAUCUCCUGUCAGAAAUAAAGUGCUCUUUUGUUUCUUAAAAAAAA